GCCGGAGUGGUGAAACUGGUAGACGCGCUGGACUCAAAAUCCAGUGGUACUUUGUACCGUGCGAGUUCGAUUCUCGCCUCCGGCA
rnacentral:tRNA from 1 species